rnacentral:piRNA from 1 species
UACAGCAAAUGUAAACUACUUCAUUCCACUGU